AUGCAGCAGGUGGUGAGUUUUAGUUCUUGAUGUUUUGGAAGAUCGAUCGUUUGUGAAGUCUGCUUCUCGACAGGUUUCCCGGAGCUUGAGGUUAAAGACAUUUCCUUUGUCGUGUUUGAAAUCCGUUUAAAUUGUGCCGCAUGCAGACGUGUUAGAAACUCAAAGAAUGCACAAAGUCUUCGUUUUCAAACUGUUCAUGUGUUGUGAGAGAGACCCGCUCACUACAGCUCCUUGUGUUGCAGAGACCGCGGAGUUAAAGCUGUUCAUCAUCGUUGGGAGAUCAUUUCACAAGUCUUCACGCGACGUGGAAGUCUUUGUAGACGAUGGUGUCUGUGUUGGUUCGUCUGCUCUUGGCGGUCCUCCUGACUGAGACGUGUGUCUCACUCUCAUAUUCAGAGGGGGAGCAGGUGGAGCUGGG